GGAAGCACCGGCUAACUCCGUGCCAGCAGCCGCGGUAAUACGGAGGGUGCGAGCGUUGUUCGGAAUUAUUGGGCGUAAGGCGCGUGUAGGCGGCUCCUUAAGUCCGAUGUGAAAGCCCCGGGCUCAACCUGGGAAGUGCAUUGGAUACUGGGGAACUUGAAUACGGGAGAGGGUAGUGGAAUUCCUGGUGUAGGAGUGAAAUCCGUAGAUAUCAGGAGGAACACCGGUGGCGAAGGCGGCUACCUGGACCGAUAUUGACGCUGAGACGCGAAAGCGUGGGGAGCAAACAGGAUUAGAUACCCCGGUAGUCCACGCCGUAAACG
rnacentral:rRNA from 1 species